rnacentral:pre_miRNA from 1 species
AGUGCAAUUGCCGGCUCAUAUGGCAAGUCUAUUUUUAGUUUUGACAGGAACUGCUAAACUAUUUUCCAGAGUGGCUAUACCAUUUUACAUUCCCACCAGCAAG